GCCUUUGUGGUGUAAUGGUCAGCACGCUCGACGCGUAACCGAGAGGUCCGUGGUUCGAUUCCCGGCGAAGGCG
rnacentral:tRNA from 1 species